UUUCCGUAGGUGGACCUGCGGAGGGAUCAUUACAGAGUUCGUGCCCUCACGGGUAGUUCUCGCACCCUUGCUUAUUUAUAGCUUAGUUGCUUUGGCAGCCCGUGGAAACACCCUGGGCUCGGUCUUAUGCGUGCCUGCCAGAGGACACAAACUUUGCUUUUAGUGAUGUCUGAGUACUAUCUAAUAGUUAAAACUUUCAACAACGGAUCUCUUGGUUCUA
rnacentral:misc_RNA from 1 species